AGCGGGGUGGGGUAGCCAGGCUAACCCGCUGGGCUCAUAACCCAGAGAUCGGUUGUUCAAAUCAACCCCCCGCUACCA
rnacentral:tRNA from 1 species